rnacentral:rRNA from 1 species
GACGAACGCUGGCGGCGUGCCUAAUACAUGCAAGUCGAACGCAGUGGGGACGGGUGAGUAACACGUUGGUAACCUCCCAUCAGAGGGGAUAACACUUGGAAACAGGUGCUAAACCGAUACUGAUGGAUGGACCCGCGGUGCAUUAGCUAGUGGGUGAGGUAACGGCUCACCAAGGCCACGAUGCAUAGCCAACCUGAGAGGGGGAUCGGCAACACUGGGACUGAGACACGGCCCAGAAUCCUACGUGAGGCAGAAGUAGGGAAUCGGCGGCAAUGGGCGAAAGCCGGACCGUGCAACGCCGCGGGAGUGAAGAAGGUGUUCGGAUCGUAAAACUCCGUUGUUAGAGAAGCGGUAUCUAACCAGAAAGCCACGGCUAACUACGUGCCAGCAGCCGCGGUAAUAC